GACGAACGCUGGCGGCGUGCUUAACACAUGCAAGUCGAACGCUGAAGCUCAGCUUGCUGGGUGGAUGAGUGGCGAACGGGUGAGUAACACGUGAGUAACCUGCCCUCUUCUUUGGGAUAACGCCCGGAAACGGGUGCUAAUACUGGAUAUUCACUGAUUCUCGCAUGGGGGUUGGUGGAAAGGUUUUUUCUGGUGGGGGAUGGGCUCGCGGCCUAUCAGCUUGUUGGUGGGGUGAUGGCCUACCAAGGCUUUGACGGGUAGCCGGCCUGAGAGGGUGACCGGUCACAUUGGGACUGAGAUACGGCCCAGACUACUACGGGAGGCAGCAGUGGGGAAUAUUGCACAAUGGGCGAAAGCCUGAUGCAGCGACGCCGCGUGAGGGAUGGAGGCCUUCGGGUUGUAAACCUCUUUCGCUCAUGGUCAAGCCGCAGCUUGGGGUUGUGGUGAGGGUAGUGGGUAAAGAAGCGCCGGCUAACUACGUG
rnacentral:rRNA from 1 species